rnacentral:rRNA from 1 species
UGGGGAAUAUUGGACAAUGGGGGCAACCCUGAUCCAGCAAUGCCGCGUGUGUGAAGAAGGCCUGAGGGUUGUAAAGCACUUUCAGUGGGGAGGAGGAUUGACAGGUUAAGAGCUAGUUAAUUGGACGUUACCCACAGAAGAAGCACCGGCUAACUCCGUGCCAGCAGCCGCGGUAAUACGGAGGGUGCAAGCGUUAAUCGGAAUUACUGGGCGUAAAGCGUGCGUAGGUGGUUGGAUAAGUUAUCUGUGAAAUCCCUGGGCUCAACCUGGGCAGGUCAGAUAAGACUGUUUAACUAGAGUAUAGGAGAGGGUAGUGGAAUUUCCGGUGUAGCGGUGAAAUGCGUAGAGAUCGGAAGGAACACCAGUGGCGAAGGCGACUACCUGGCCAGAUACUGACACUGAGGCACGAAAGCGUGGGGAGCAAACAGG